rnacentral:lncRNA from 1 species
UCCUCUUCCGCUGCGCAAGGGCCGAGGCUGGGCGGCUCGGGGCCGCUUCCCGCACGCGCCGACCCCUGCCGGGGACAGCAGGGGACCCGAGUGCGCGGCGCUUUCCGCCCGCCGGGCAGCCUCGCCCCCGCCUGCCCGGCCAGCAGUCCAUAAAUAUUCCCGAGGCCCGGAGGGGGCAGAAAACGCUUUCCAACGCGUCUUCUAGCCGCGGUCCACCUUUCCACGCGCGGAACCCUGCGAGGAGAGGCCUGGACACCAGUCAGUACCGCGCCCCCAAACCCUCGCCCUGCGCAGCCCGAGGGUGUUACCUUUCUGGUGGAGUUCUUUGGGUUUCCUUGGGAGGCAGAGGCACCUGGAAGACCAGCCCAGAGCUGAAGAUCUAAGAUGACAGAUUGCCAGGAUCCUGGCUUGGAGCAGCUACAGCAGGUAGCCAGGCAUGGGAGCAGGCAUCUUGGACACAACAGGAUCAGAUGCGUGUGAGCAAAGCCGUGGGAUUUGGGUAGGUCCCAGAUGAAGGAGCCAUGAGUGGUGUCAUCACACCCUUCUCUUUGCCCAGAUGAAAGUCCAGUGAGCCAGCCAUGGUUAUGUGGCAAGCUCAUCGCAAGGCAUUUUGGCUGACAGGAAGAGCAGGAACAAAGUGGUCAAGACUCCCAUGUUCAACUCAGGUGACCUAAGUCUGU